rnacentral:rRNA from 1 species
AACGAACGCUGGCGGCAGGCUUAACACAUGCAAGUCGAGCGCCCCGCAAGGGGAGCGGCAGACGGGUGAGUAACACGUGGGAAUCUACCCAUCCCUACGGAACAACUCCGGGAAACUGGAGCUAAUACCGUAUACGCCCUUCGGGGGAAAGAUUUAUCGGGGAUGGAUGAGCCCGCGUUGGAUUAGCUAGUUGGUGGGGUAAAGGCCUACCAAGGCGACGAUCCAUAGCUGGUCUGAGAGGAUGAUCAGCCACAUUGGGACUGAGACACGGCCCAAACUCCUACGGGAGGCAGCAGUGGGGAAUAUUGGACAAUGGGCGCAAGCCUGAUCCAGCCAUGCCGCGUGAGUGAUGAAGGCCUUAGGGUUGUAAAGCUCUUUCACCGAUGAAGAUAAUGACGGUAGUCGGAGAAGAAGCCCCGGCUAACUUCGUGCCAGCCGCCGCCGUAA